AUUGAACGCUGGCGGCAGGCUUAACACAUGCAAGUCGAGCGGAGUGAUGGUGCUUGCACUAUCACUUAGCGGCGGACGGGUGAGUAAUGCUUAGGAAUCUGCCUAUUAGUGGGGGACAACAUCUCGAAAGGGAUGCUAAUACCGCAUACGUCCUACGGGAGAAAGCAGGGGAUCACUUGUGACCUUGCGCUAAUAGAUGAGCCUAAGUCGGAUUAGCUAGUUGGUGGGGUAAAGGCCUACCAAGGCGACGAUCUGUAGCGGGUCUGAGAGGAUGAUCCGCCACACUGGGACUGGAACACGGCCCAGACUCCUACGGGAGGCAGCAGUGGGGAAUAUUGGACAAUGGGGGGAACCCUGAUCCAGCCAUGCCGCGUGUGUGAAGAAGGCCUUAUGGUUGUAAAGCACUUUAAGCGAGGAGGAGGCUCUUUUGGUUAAUACCCAAGAUGAGUGGACGUUACUCGCAGAAUAAGCACCGGCUAACUCUGUGCCAGCAGCCGCCGUAA
rnacentral:rRNA from 1 species